AUUGGCUGGGAGCUAGCUAGGGGAUCCUAUUGGUUGGGCGCUAGCUAGUGGAUCCUAACGAGUGGAUCCUAACUAGAGGAUCCUAAAGAGUGGAUCCUUACCACUGGAUCCUAACCACUGCAUCCUAACCACUGCAUCCUAACAAGUGGAUCCUAGAGGCUGGAGUCAAUGGGCUGCUCUAGAACAUUCCCUUGAGGUUGCUGAAGGUGGACCAGAGGUCAGCCUGUCCAGUAGGAAGGAGGCCGGUUCCUGGCCCCCGGUCUCUGGUGGUGGAGCCUGCUAUCAGCAGCAGCCUCUCUAACAGGGGUUUUUUGGCUCUCUCAGUGACCUAGAGUUAGAGCUCCAACAUAGUGCUAGAGCUCUAAUAGCCGUAUAGAGUUAGAGCUAUAGCAGAGUUCUAGAGCUCUAACAGGGUUCUAGAGCUCUAUCCGUGUUCUAGAGUUCUACCAGUGUUCUAGAGCUCUAACAGGGUUCUAGAGCUCUAUCUGUGUUCUAGAGUUCUACCAGUGUUCUAGAGCUCUAACAGGGUUCUAGAGUUGGAGCUCUUACAGUUCCGAGCACAGUUAGAGGCUCUAACGUUCAUCAUGUUAAUAGAGUGUCUCUAUGUUAUUCCCACUCGCAGAUGUAUAAUCUAGUAUUUAUUACUAAAUUUGUCAAAAUAUUAUCAAACAAACCAAAGCAGUGAAUAUUUAGUGUGGACCGUUUCCUAAACAUUAUCCUCAGCUUCUCCCAGACCAGACCAGAACAGACCGGACCAGACCAGACCGGACCGGACCAGACCAGACCAGACCGGACCAGACCAGACCGGACCAGACCAGACCAGACCGGACCACACCAGACCAGACAAGACCGGACCAGGUCUACACGUUGAUGGCGUGAGCGUGCUUCUUGCAGAGCGGCUUGUCUUUCUUGGAGUAGAACGGCUGACCCUCCAGGUUGAUGUUAGCCACCUGCAGCAACAACAACAACAACAACCAUUAGAACAACAACAACCAUUAGAACAGUGGAUCUCAAACCAUUGUACGCGUACCACUGGUGGUAAGCAGAGGAAUUAGAAAGAAAAAAAAUCGUAAGAUUAAAUUUUUUUUUUUCCAAAUACUAGUACAAAUGGAAAUACAUUUCCCAUGAGAUCAUGUUCCCACUUUCUGUGUGUGUAUGUGUAUGUGUUUCCGUGUCUCUGUUCUAGUGCUACCACUUUGUACAGCUGACAACAGUUAACAAUAAAUAAUA
ensembl:lncRNA